UUUAAAGUCUGACCUGCCCACUGAAAUUUUUUAAAUGGCCGCAGUAUACUAACUGUGCAAAGGUAGCAUAAUCAUUAGUCUUUUAAUUGAAGGCUGGUAUGAAUGGUUGGACGAGAUAUUAACUGUUUCAUAAAAAUUUAUAAUAGAAUUUUAUUUUUUAGUCAAAAAGCUAAAAUUUAUUUAAAAGACGAGAAGACCCUAUAAAUCUUUAUAUUUAUAUUAUUAUAAUUUUGUAGAUUUUUUUUGUUAUGAUAAUAGAUGAUAUUUUAUUGGGGUGAUAUUAAAAUUUAAUAAACUUUUAAUUGUUUAAAUCAUUAAUUUAUGAAUAAUUGAUCCGUUAUUAGCGAUUAAAAAAACAAGUUACUUUAGGGAUAACAGCGUAAUUUUUUUGGAGAGUUCAUAUCGAUAAAAAAGAUUGCGACCUCGAUGUUGGAUUAAGAUAUAAUUUUAGGUGUAGCCGCUUAAAUUUUAAGUCUGUUCGACUUUUAAAUUCUUACGUGAUCUGAGUUCAGACCGGA
rnacentral:rRNA from 2 species